rnacentral:rRNA from 1 species
AUUGAACGCUGGCGGCAGGCCUAACACAUGCAAGUCGAGCGGAUGAAGGGAGCUUGCUCCUGGAUUCAGCGGCGGACGGGUGAGUAAUGCCUAGGAAUCUGCCUGGUAGUGGGGGAUAACGUCCGGAAACGGGCGCUAAUACCGCAUACGUCCUGAGGGAGAAAGUGGGGGAUCUUCGGACCUCACGCUAUCAGAUGAGCCUAGGUCGGAUUAGCUAGUUGGUGGGGUAAAGGCCUACCACGGCGACGAUCCGUAACUGGUCUGAGAGGAUGAUCAGUCACACUGGAACUGAGACACGGUCCAAACUCCUACGGGAGGCAGCAGUGGGGAAUAUUGGACAAUGGGCGAAAGCCUGAUCCAGCCAUGCCGCGUGUGUGAAGAAGGUCUUCGGAUUGUAAAGCACUUUAAGUUGGGAGGAAGGGCAGUAAGUUAAUACCCUGCUGUUUUGACGUUACCAACAGAAUAAGCACCGGCUAACUUCGUG